rnacentral:rRNA from 1 species
GGACCCGCACAAGUAGUGGAGCAUGUGGUUUAAUUCGAAGAUACGCGCAGAACCUUACCAACACUUGACAUGUUCGUCGCGACUUUAAGAGAUUAAAGUUUUCGGUUCGGCCGGACGAAACACAGGUGCUGCAUGGCUGUCGUCAGCUCGUGUCGUGAGAUGUUGGGUUAAGUCCCGCAACGAGCGCAACCCUCACUUUUAGUUGCCAUCAUUAAGUUGGGCACUCUGAAAGAACUGCCAGUGAUAAGCUGGAGGAAGGUGGGGAUGACGUCAAGUCCUCAUGGCCCUUACGUGUUGGGCUACACACGUGCUACAAUGGUAUCUACAACAGGAAGCAAGACUGCGAAGUUUAGCAAAUCCUUAAAAGAUACCUCAGUUCGGAUUGCACUCUGCAACUCGCCUCCAUGAAGCCGGAAUCGCUAG